rnacentral:rRNA from 1 species
GACAGAGGUGCCAAGCGUUAGGCGGAAUCACUGGGCUUAAAGCGUGUGUAGGCGGAUCGUUAAGUACCUUGUGAAAUCCCACGGCUCAACCGUGGAACUGCUGGGUAUACUGGCGGUCUUGAGCCACCUAGGGGCAACUGGAACAAGCGGUGGAGCGGUGAAAUGCGUAGAUAUCGCUUGGAACGCCAACGGUGAAAACAGGUUGCUGGGGGUGUGCUGACGCUGAGACACGAAAGCCAGGGGGAGCGAACGGG